CUGCCUGGUCACGGCCGGACUGGACUACGUGCAUGGUGCGUGGUCCAGUCCGGCCGAGGCCUCGCUUUGCUCUUCGCCACACUGUGAAGACUGGGCCAGCUAACGUACUUUUCCGUUUCCUACAAGCUCAAGGGGACCACGUGGUCGAAAGAACGUAUAAAAGGAGAGCACUUGCUCUGCACCAACCUUUUCCUGCACCGGUCGGCCUGCCUGGUCACGGCCGGACUGGACUACGCGCAUGUUGCGUGCUCCGGUCCAGCCGCGGCCUGGCUUUGAACUUCACCACAUUGUGAAGACUGGGCCGGCUAACGCUGUUUUCCGUUUCCUACACGCACAAGCAUCUGAGCAACGGACAUACCCGUAUGCUCUCCCCCUGGGGUGCACAUGGACACGGCGAUCAUCGGGACCUUCUUUCAUCGGCGUCCACAUCCAAGCGAAGGCAGCUAGACCUCUCUCAAGCACCGAGAUUGCCGAAUGGGGGCACCUUGGUUCGCCGACUCUACGCCGCCUGAUGCUGCCUUCGAUGGUCUACAGUGGGCUUUGUCCAAGUGCUUCUGGCCUACGCUCUCAACUACCUACAAUGGACGAAACUUUAUUUGUGUUUAUCUUUUUAUUAUUUUUUAGGCCUGCGAAGCGAUAACUGCGAUUAAGUGUCGACUUCAUAUUUCUCCAGGGGGACGAAGAUUGCA